rnacentral:lncRNA from 1 species
AGAGCAAUCUGUGGGCAGCCAGCGCAGGGCUUUCUUCGGAGUUGCUCUCCCAGGAGUCCCACCCACCCUGGAUGAGGGUCAGAAGGGAGGAGGACGUUGGCUGGCCUGCCACAUGCAUCAGUUAAUCAGCAGGAUGAUUAAGCCACUGGACUCCUUCCCUGCCCGGGAUUCCAGGAGGGACUGGCGUGGUCACAAUGUGGACUCAGGAGGUUAGAAUUUUCCUGUGAACCAGGCGGAUGCCCUGCCCGUCCCAAGGCCCUUGGGAGGCUGGGGAGGGGAAGCAGGUGUGGAGAGAGAAUGAAAGCCACCUCCCCAAGCAUGACAGCCUGUCUGGUUCUGUCAGCUCCUACACUGUGACAUGCCCCAUCACCCCCUCAGUCUAGGGGCCCCAGAGGGCAGAAAAGUCAUCCUCACACCCCAUAUCCUGUUAUCUCCAAGGACCGCUGUAAUUUGCUCUUGACUCCCUUGAAUCUGCCCCCUUCUCUCCUUUCCUGUUUCCCUCCCCGACACCCAGCCCCAGCACCUGCUGCCUGGACCCUGUGGCAGCCCCUCCCAGCAGUGCUGCACUCAGAGACAGGGAGUGGGCUUCAAAACCCAGCUACCAGCCAGUCCUCCCAGGCAAAAGCCCUCCAUGGCUUCUCAUUGCUUAAGACAAAGACCAAUCCCUUCCUGUGGCUCCAGGUCCUGCCUGGCCUCAGCCCCAUCUCUUGCCGGGGCCCUUCCUGCUCCAUUACAGCUGCGCUGCUUGCUCCUUCCUGGAGCGUGUUCACUGUGUUCCUUCCUGCCUCUGGGCCUUUUCACUUUCCAUUCCCCAAUGCUUGGAAUGUCAGUUCAAGUGUCACUUCCUCAGGGAAUCCCUCCUGCCUCUCCCUACCUCCCCACCCAUCCCCUACUGCUCUAGCCUCCCUUGGGAGAGCUCCAGUCUUGUAUCAUCACACCGUACUCUCCCACAGCACAUGGCAAAGUUGCAAUAUAACUUAGGUGAAGUGCCAAGGCCUGCGCACACUCACAGAGACCUGCGCCGCUUCCCUCCUCGUGCAGGGUCCCCCUUCGGAGUCUGGAGAAAGGAAGAAUGGCCAGAGGCCACUCCCUCUCCUUGGGAGCUCCUGCCGGGAUGCCAACCUGGGCUUCAGGAUGGGAUGACCUCAGAGGGCAACUCGGAACUGUAAUUAGCCUCCACUGUAAUCCCCGCCACUCCCAACUCAGACUCAGAACUCUGGGGGCUUGGCAGCUCAGCCCAGACCCCCAGCUUCCUCCUCCUAUCCAGCGGGUGUAACAGGCACUCAAAAACUGAUUACUAAACAGGGAAGGGGACUUGGAGGCCUGAUUUGUGGAGAUCUUGAUAAAAUCUUGCCUUAUACAUGUCCUAUUCUUG